AUUGAACGCUGGCGGCAGGCCUAACACAUGCAAGUCGAGCGGAUGAAGGGAGCUUGCUCCUGGAUUCAGCGGCGGACGGGUGAGUAAUGCCUAGGAAUCUGCCUGGUAGUGGGGGAUAACGUCCGGAAACGGGCGCUAAUACCGCAUACGUCCUGAGGGAGAAAGUGGGGGAUCUUCGGACCUCACGCUAUCAGAUGAGCCUAGGUCGGAUUAGCUAGUUGGUGGGGUAAAGGCCUACCAAGGCGACGAUCCGUAACUGGUCUGAGAGGAUGACCAGUCACACUGGAACUGAGACACGGUCCAGACUCCUACGGGAGGCAGCAGUGGGGAAUAUUGGACAAUGGGCGAAAGCCUGAUCCAGCCAUGCCGAGUGUGUGAAGAAGGUCUUCGGAUUGUAAAGCACUUUAAGUUGGGAGGAAGGGCAGUAAGUUAAUACCUUGCUGUUUUGACGUUACCAACAGAAUAAGCACCGGCUAACUUCGUG
rnacentral:rRNA from 1 species